CGAAAGCCUGACGGAGCAAUACCGCGUGAGGGAAGACUGCCUAUGGGUUGUAAACCUCUUUUUUCAGGGAGGAAUCAAUGACGUGUGCCUGAAGAAUAAGCAUCGGCUGACUCCGUGCCAGCAGCCGCGGUAAGACGGAGGAUGCAAGUGUUAUCCGGAAUCACUGGGCGUAAAGCGUCUGUAGGUUGUUUAAUAAGUCAACUGUUAAAUCUUAAAGCUUAACUUUGAAAUCGCAGUCGAAACUAUUAGACUAGAGUAUAGUAGGGGUAAAGGGAAUUUCCAGUGGAGCGGUGAAAUGCGUAGAUAUUGGAAAGAACACCGAUGGCGAAAGCACUUUACUGGGCUAUUACUAACACUCAGAGACGAAAGCUAGGGGAGCA
rnacentral:rRNA from 1 species